CCAGUAUCGUCAUACACUUGCUCGUGUUCAGAUUCCAGACUCGUAUUUUAUUGUCCAUCGCAGAGGAGAAAAGUUGGAGACGUGAUAUGUCAGGAUGAAAUUCAACAAGGCUGCCAGUGAAGAGUAGCAUGGGAAAGAGCUUGGAACUGGAGACUGAUGGAUGUCACAUCUUUUGGACAUCACGCUUAAUGAAACUCAACUGGACCAGCCCUAUAAGUACAAUGGCUACAAGAGCUGAGAGGCUGGAUGUCCUGUAGCAAGCAACUGUUCUCCAGACUACCCAAGGCACAAGUUAGGAAUGUCAUGGAAUACUCUCCAUUUGGCUGGAUGACUACAGCAUCGACAAUUCUCAAGUUCAACACCUGCAGGACUAAGCAGCCUGGUUGAUCAGCACCGAUAAACAUUCAUUUUCUCCAUCAGCAUUGAGAGCAAUGCGUACCAUCUACAGAAUACAUUGCAUUUAUCCACAACAUAUCCUCCAAAAUCUACAACCUUUGCCACCAAAGAUAAGGAUACCAGGUAUAUAGAACCACCUGCAGGCUCCCUUCCAAGUCACACACGACAUGAGCUCCUCAGGUCAAGUGUGUUGUAGACAGUGAUAGCUGUAACUUAAUUGGAAACUGGAAAUAGUGUAUUUUAUGAAGUCUAAAUAUUGCAUAGUAUAUUGUAGUUAUUUGAAUAAUCUUUUCCAUAAAAAAAUUGACUUUGAAAUACAGAGUAUUCUGGUUAAUUGGAACAAAUGCUUAUUUGGGACAACUCUUAAAGAACAAAAACUAACUGUUAAAAUAGUCAUCAUUCCCUUCUUUUAUUUGGGACAUGAUGCUGCUUGCACAGUUUCUAACUAGCAUCUAGUGUGCACUUGUGUGGCCAUUAGUCAUUGCACCGUGCUUAGAGUGAAGUUUUUAAGUAGCGUCAGUUGCAUGUGUUGUGUGUUGAAAAGUUGCAGGGAUCUUUAAAUACUGACAGUUGGCAAGAAAUUAGCAGUGAGAGAAUUUAAAACCAUUUUGCUCACUGCAAUUUCAAGCAUUCAAGCUUGGAGAAGCCAGAAAUGCACAGAAGUAAAAAAAAGUAUUUCACUACUUCAAGUUAGAAAAUACAAAGAAUUUGAAGGUAUCAACAAUAAUCUUGAAUAAUACAAUGAAAGUGAAGAUUUGGAGGAUGCAAUAUUCAAAAACAUUGUAUGACGGCAGUCCAUUAUCUACAGUAGGUGACUGCGCUGAUUUUGCUAAUUUACAUGGCAGUGAACACUGGAUGAAUUCUAUUGAUAACUAUCUGGAACUAAUACAGUUUUAUAGUACUGUAGUAGUUUUGGUAGUGUUCUAAUUUGUUCUGUAUUUCAUUUAAAUGCAUAAUUUGUUACUCAGUUGUCUUUUUUUUAAAUACAUUUUUUUACCAUUUCCAUGAAAUUUUGGCUAAUUGGAACAGCUACUUAAUUGGCCAAAUAACCAGAAUCCAUUGUAUAUUGUUAAUACUUUAUAAUACUGGGUCUUAAUGCAAAACAUUGACAAUUUCUUUGCCUUACGGAUGCUGCUCAACCUGCUUAAUUUUUCCGAUCAUUUGUAUAAUUUCCAGCAUCUAUAGUCUCAUGUUUCUGUAUGGUGCAACUUCCUACUAAUAGCACUGUGGGGGUAUCUUAAUCAGGAAUGCAGCUAUUCAAAAUAGCAGCUUACCACCAUCCUCAAAGACAAUUAGGGAUGGCCUUGCCAGCAAUAAUUGAUCUCUAAAAUGAAUAAAAACACUAAUUCAGUAUUUACAAUAGUACAAGUGUAAAUCCAGUUUGACUCAGUACAGUCGUGUCACAUCAACCUGUUUUUUGGUCACCAAGUUAUAGGAAAGAUGUCAACAAAAUAGAGAGAGUACAGAGAAGAUUUAUUAGAAUGUUACCUGGGUUUCGGCACCAAUGUUACAGAGAAAGGUUGAAAAAGUUAGGUCUUUAUUAUUUGGAGCGUAGAAUGUUGAGGGGGGACUUGAUAGAGGUAUUUAAAAUUAUGAGGGGGAUAGAUAGAGUUGACGUGGAUAGGCUUUUUCCAUUAAGAGUAGAGGAGAUUCAAACAAGAGGACAUGAGUUGAGAGUUAGGGGGCAAAAGUUUAAGGGUAACACAAGGGGGAAUUUCUUUACUCAGAGAGUGGUAGCUGUGUACAACAAGCUUCCAGUAGAAGUGGUAGAGGCAGGUCCGGUAUUGUCAUUUAAAAAAAAAAUUGGAUAGGUAUAUGGACAGGAAAGGAAUGGAGGGUCAGGUCGGUGGGACUAGGCGAGAGUAAGCGUUCGGCACGGACUAGAAGGGCCGAGAUGGCCUGUUUUCAUGCUGUAAUUGUUAUAUGGUUACUUGGUUUUUGCACCUAUACCAAUCCAGUUUUAAAUUAAGUACUGAGAGGAGAGUAUCUUCUCCCAUACUCUGGUGAAGAAAUUGCAGAAUAAAGCUACUAGCAUGUGCACAGCUCUACUUUUGCUGGAACCCAAAAUGCCUUGACCAGCCACAUGGUGAAUACAUACUUGUCAUCAAUCAUAAUUCUUUUCUGUAUUUUGUGUUGUUAUAUAAAUUAAGCCUCUGUCACUUGAACUGGACAAAAUGCUUUUCCACAGCAAAAAAAAAAUGAGCUGCUGAAGAAAUACCAUCAUCCUCACAAUCCUGAGAAAUUGCAGAGCCUGGGCCUCUGUACCUCCCUCUGCAAUUGGAUCCUCGACUUCCUAACAGGAGGACCACAAUUUGUGUGGAUUAGUGAUAAUAUCUCCUCCACGCUGACGAUUAACACUGGCGCACCUCAUUGGUGUGUGCUUAGCCCACUGCUCUGCUCUCUCUAUACCCAUGGCUGUGUGAGUAGGCACAGCUCAAAUACCAUCUAUAAAUUUGCUGAUGAUACAACCAUUGUUGGUAGAAUCUCAGUGGUGACAAGAGGGUGUACAGGAGCGAGAUAUGCCAACUAGUGGAGUGAUGUCACAACAACAACCUAGCACAACGUCAGUAAGAUGAAAGAGCUGAUUGUGGGCUUCAGGAAGGGUAAGACAAAGGAACACAUACCAAUCCUCAUAGAGUGAUCAGAAGUGGAGAGAGUGAGCAGU